ACCGUUCUUGUCGCGCAAGCUAGUAGAAUUGGCUUGUACGUCAAACAUUGUAGAAUAUUUUUAUCUCGAAGUCUCUCUCUCUCUUCAGCUUUUCCACAUUGAUCUUGGUUUUCUUUUUUCUUAAGGAUGGAGUCCGAGAAAAACCAAGCUGAAAUCCAAACCCCAACUUCUUCAUGUCAAAGGGUGAAAUCUGAUAAGAAUGCAGGGUUCGUGGCUAAUAUGCGGGAUCAGUUCAGUGAGUUUAUUCAUGCUCCCAUUGAUGAACACAAGGCUUGUUUCAUAGAAACCUUUCGUAAGGCAAUUGACGACUGGGACUGGCAUCGCAUUGAUACGUUUGAUAACUUUACAAUUCUUUUCCCUUUUCAGAAGAAAGACUAGAUCCGGCCUUAAUGAAGCUGAGAGCUCUUUCUAUCUCUUGCCAUGCUUUUAUUAUUUGGGAUGUGAAAGUUGGGUGCAACAGUUUUUCAGGAAAAUGUCGAACAUAAUUUUUAUAUAUAUAUAUAUAUAUAUUUCGUAGUGGCAUAGCAGAGAAGGUUAUGAUUUAUUGCUUUUUUGGUGUAAAAACACUGUUUUAAUUAGCAGAUUAUCUCUUCAUAUGAACUAUGAUAUUGUUGUGUUCUUUCUAUUUAUAGCCAAAAUCAUAAUCCUCUAUCUCCUCUCCUCUUUGCUGAACUUUAACAUUAACAGGUGUUUGG